rnacentral:tRNA from 1 species
ACCUGGCUGGCUCAGUCAGAAGAGCACGCGACUCUUGAUCUCAAGGAUGUGAGUUCGAGCCCCACGUUGGGUG